rnacentral:rRNA from 1 species
UGGGGAAUAUUGGACAAUGGGCGAAAGCCUGAUCCAGCCAUGCCGCGUGUGUGAAGAAGGUCUUCGGAUUGUAAAGCACUUUAAGUUGGGAGGAAGGGCAUUAACCUAAUACGUUAGUGUUUUGACGUUACCGACAGAAUAAGCACCGGCUAACUCUGUGCCAGCAGCCGCGGUAAUACAGAGGGUGCAAGCGUUAAUCGGAAUUACUGGGCGUAAAGCGCGCGUAGGUGGUUUGUUAAGUUGGAUGUGAAAUCCCCGGGCUCAACCUGGGAACUGCAUUCAAAACUGACUGACUAUAGUAUGGUAGAGGGUGGUGGAAUUUCCUGUGUAGCGGUGAAAUGCGUAGAAAUAGGAAGGAACACCAGUGGCGAAGGCGACCACCUGGACUAAUACUGACACUGAGGUGCGAAAGCGUGGGGAGCAAACA